GAGUUUGAUCAUGGCUCAGGAUGAACGCUAGCGGCAGGCUUAACACAUGCAAGUCGAGGGGUAUUCUAGCAAUAGGAGAGACCGGCGCACGGGUGCGUAACGCGUAUGCAAUCUGCCCUUCACAGAGGGAUAGCCCAGAGAAAUUUGGAUUAAUACCUCAUAGUAUAAUGACUCGGCAUCGAGAUAUUAUUAAAGUCACAACGGUGAAAGAUGAGCAUGCGUCCCAUUAGCUAGUUGGUAAGGUAACGGCUUACCAAGGCGACGAUGGGUAGGGGUCCUGAGAGGGAGAUCCCCCACACUGGUACUGAGACACGGACCAGACUCCUACGGGAGGCAGCA
rnacentral:rRNA from 1 species